UACGAAAGGGGCUAGCGUUUUUCGGAAUUACUGGGCGUAAAGCGCGCGUAGGCGGGCUAGCAAGUUGGGGGUGAAAUCCCGGUGCUCAACCUCGGAACUGCCUCCAAAACUGCUAGCCUAGAGGAUGUGAGAGGAUAGUGGAAUUCCGAGUGUAGAGGUGAAAUUCGUAGAUAUUCGGAAGAACACCAGUGGCGAAGGCGACUGUCUGGCGCAUUUCUGACGCUGAGGUGCGAAAGCGUAGGGAGCAAACAGG
rnacentral:rRNA from 1 species